GGUUAAGCGACUAAGCGUACACGGUGGAUGCCCUGGCAGUCAGAGGCGAUGAAGGACGUGCUAAUCUGCGAUAAGCGUCGGUAAGGUGAUAUGAACCGUUAUAACCGGCGAUUUCCGAAUGGGGAAACCCAGUGUGUUUCGACACACUAUCAUUAACUGAAUCCAUAGGUUAAUGAGGCGAACCGGGGGAACUGAAACAUCUAAGUACCCCGAGGAAAAGAAAUCAACCGAGAUUCCCCCAGUAGCGGCGAGCGAACGGGGAGCAGCCCAGAGCCUGAAUCAGUGUGUGUGUUAGUGGAAGCGUCUGGAAAGGCGCGCGAUACAGGGUGACAGCCCCGUACACAAAAAUGCACAUGCUGUGAGCUCGAUGAGUAGGGCGGGACACGUGGUAUCCUGUCUGAAUAUGGGGGGACCAUCCUCCAAGGCUAAAUACUCCUGACUGACCGAUAGUGAACCAGUACCGUGAGGGAAAGGCGAAAAGAACCCCGGCGAGGGGAGUGAAAAAGAACCUGAAACCGUGUACGUACAAGCAGUGGGAGCACGCUUAGGCGUGUGACUGCGUACCUUUUGUAUAAUGGGUCAGCGACUUAUAUUCUGUAGCAAGGUUAACCGAAUAGGGGAGCCGAAGGGAAACCGAGUCUUAACUGGGCGUUAAGUUGCAGGGUAUAGACCCGAAACCCGGUGAUCUAGCCAUGGGCAGGUUGAAGGUUGGGUAACACUAACUGGAGGACCGAACCGACUAAUGUUGAAAAAUUAGCGGAUGACUUGUGGCUGGGGGUGAAAGGCCAAUCAAACCGGGAGAUAGCUGGUUCUCCCCGAAAGCUAUUUAGGUAGCGCCUCGUGAAUUCAUCUCCGGGGGUAGAGCACUGUUUCGGCAAGGGGGUCAUCCCGACUUACCAACCCGAUGCAAACUGCGAAUACCGGAGAAUGUUAUCACGGGAGACACACGGCGGGUGCUAACGUCCGUCGUGAAGAGGGAAACAACCCAGACCGCCAGCUAAGGUCCCAAAGUCAUGGUUAAGUGGGAAACGAUGUGGGAAGGCCCAGACAGCCAGGAUGUUGGCUUAGAAGCAGCCAUCAUUUAAAGAAAGCGUAAUAGCUCACUGGUCGAGUCGGCCUGCGCGGAAGAUGUAACGGGGCUAAACCAUGCACCGAAGCUGCGGCAGCGACACUAUGUGUUGUUGGGUAGGGGAGCGUUCUGUAAGCCUGUGAAGGUGUACUGUGAGGUAUGCUGGAGGUAUCAGAAGUGCGAAUGCUGACAUAAGUAACGAUAAAGCGGGUGAAAAGCCCGCUCGCCGGAAGACCAAGGGUUCCUGUCCAACGUUAAUCGGGGCAGGGUGAGUCGACCCCUAAGGCGAGGCCGAAAGGCGUAGUCGAUGGGAAACAGGUUAAUAUUCCUGUACUUGGUGUUACUGCGAAGGGGGGACGGAGAAGGCUAUGUUGGCCGGGCGACGGUUGUCCCGGUUUAAGCGUGUAGGCUGGUUUUCCAGGCAAAUCCGGAAAAUCAAGGCUGAGGCGUGAUGACGAGGCACUACGGUGCUGAAGCAACAAAUGCCCUGCUUCCAGGAAAAGCCUCUAAGCAUCAGGUAACAUCAAAUCGUACCCCAAACCGACACAGGUGGUCAGGUAGAGAAUACCAAGGCGCUUGAGAGAACUCGGGUGAAGGAACUAGGCAAAAUGGUGCCGUAACUUCGGGAGAAGGCACGCUGAUAUGUAGGUGAAGUCCCUCGCGGAUGGAGCUGAAAUCAGUCGAAGAUACCAGCUGGCUGCAACUGUUUAUUAAAAACACAGCACUGUGCAAACACGAAAGUGGACGUAUACGGUGUGACGCCUGCCCGGUGCCGGAAGGUUAAUUGAUGGGGUCAGCGCAAGCGAAGCUCUUGAUCGAAGCCCCGGUAAACGGCGGCCGUAACUAUAACGGUCCUAAGGUAGCGAAAUUCCUUGUCGGGUAAGUUCCGACCUGCACGAAUGGCGUAAUGAUGGCCAGGCUGUCUCCACCCGAGACUCAGUGAAAUUGAACUCGCUGUGAAGAUGCAGUGUACCCGCGGCAAGACGGAAAGACCCCGUGAACCUUUACUAUAGCUUGACACUGAACAUUGAGCCUUGAUGUGUAGGAUAGGUGGGAGGCUUUGAAGUGUGGACGCCAGUCUGCAUGGAGCCGACCUUGAAAUACCACCCUUUAAUGUUUGAUGUUCUAACGUGGACCCGUAAUCCGGGUUGCGGACAGUGUCUGGUGGGUAGUUUGACUGGGGCGGUCUCCUCCUAAAGAGUAACGGAGGAGCACGAAGGUUGGCUAAUCCUGGUCGGACAUCAGGAGGUUAGUGCAAUGGCAUAAGCCAGCUUGACUGCGAGCGUGACGGCGCGAGCAGGUGCGAAAGCAGGUCAUAGUGAUCCGGUGGUUCUGAAUGGAAGGGCCAUCGCUCAACGGAUAAAAGGUACUCCGGGGAUAACAGGCUGAUACCGCCCAAGAGUUCAUAUCGACGGCGGUGUUUGGCACCUCGAUGUCGGCUCAUCACAUCCUGGGGCUGAAGUAGGUCCCAAGGGUAUGGCUGUUCGCCAUUUAAAGUGGUACGCGAGCUGGGUUUAGAACGUCGUGAGACAGUUCGGUCCCUAUCUGCCGUGGGCGCUGGAGAACUGAGGGGGGCUGCUCCUAGUACGAGAGGACCGGAGUGGACGCAUCACUGGUGUUCGGGUUGUCAUGCCAAUGGCACUGCCCGGUAGCUAAAUGCGGAAGAGAUAAGUGCUGAAAGCAUCUAAGCACGAAACUUGCCCCGAGAUGAGUUCUCCCUGACUCCUUGAGAGUCCUGAAGGAACGUUGAAGACGACGACGUUGAUAGGCCGGGUGUGUAAGCGCAGCGAUGCGUUGAGCUAACCGGUA
rnacentral:rRNA from 1 species